GACUGGGUGGCUGAAAGAUGGCUGGAAAGCGCAUUUAGCCAACCGAGCCUGCGCAUGGAACCUGCGGCGCUGCACAGCUGCAUAGAGAUGUGGAGCACCUCCCUUUACCGUAGAAAGUAGGCGAGCCAGCUCGAGGCACUAUACUGAGGAAGCGCUGCGGCCUACUUCCGCCGUUUUUCUUAACAUCAAAGAAACUUCCGGUAGUGGGGUGUCUUGCAUUCCACCGUGUCGGUGCCCCAGAAUGAGACGCAAGCUGAUCUGCAGAUCCCGCAGGGUGCCUUCUGCUCUUUUCGGGGCAGGUUGGCCGGUAGGGGAGAAGGCCGCCAUUGGAACGCGGCCUUUAUGUCGGGUUCUCUCAAGAGUCUAAGAUCGCACCCUCACCAGCGGAGGGAAGGAGCCCACUCCCAGCCACACCGCUUUGUUUUCUUUCGCUUAGCCUUGUUGCGCCGUUCUCUAAGCCACUCAUGUCCUUAGAUCAGAUUGAGGGGCCCGCAGGAUUUAAGCCUUUAAUCCACAGCACAUUCCAAGCACCUACCCGGUGGUAGGCCCUAACAAGGAACACAGGCAAGUGACACGCUGCCUGGCCUGAAAGGUCCGCUCAGACCUUUACAUGAAGUUAAUAAAUGUUAAGCUUCAGGGCCCCUCGCUUGUAUGGCCUCCUGGGAGAAUAGAUAGUUGCUGAGUUGUGGAGAGGGGAAGCCAGCUUGAGAUUAGGAAGCAAAUCUAUGUAAGCAUUUCUAAUAAAUUACCCAGAGAGAUCUAAGGAGAAUCUGAAUCUCCAAGUCUCUAGUAAUGUGUUGUGAUUUGUCGUUUUAAUUAUUUGUUUUGUGUAUUUGUAGGGCCCCCCAAUGGUAUAUAAGUUUCACCUCUGCAAAACCUGGAUC
rnacentral:lncRNA from 1 species